UGAGGAAUAUUGGACAAUGGGCGAAAGCCUGAUCCAGCCAUGCCGCGUGUGUGAAGAAGGUCUUCGGCUUGUAAAGCACUUUAAGUUGGGAGGAAGGGCAUUAACCUAAUACGUUAGUGUUUUGACGUUACCGACAGAAUAAGCACCGGCUAACUCUGUGCCAGCAGCCGCGGUAAUACAGAGGGUGCAAGCGUUAAUCGGAAUUACUGGGCGUAAAGCGCGCGUAGGUGGUUUGUUAAGUUGGAUGUGAAAUCCCCGGGCUCAACCUGGGAACUGCAUUCAAAACUGACUGACUAGAGUAUGGUAGAGGGUGGUGGAAUUUCCUGUGUAGCGGUGAAAUGCGUAGAUAUAGGAAGGAACACCAGUGGCGAAGGCGACCACCUGGACUAAUACUGACACUGAGGUGCGAAAGCGUGGGGAGCAAACA
rnacentral:rRNA from 1 species